GUUUGUUGUCUGUGCUGUCAGGAGCUGCUCAUGAGAUGCCACCAAGAAGGCUAUUUCCUCUGGUCAUCUUGCUGCAGGCAUGGUGGAAGAGAGUGACCACCUCACUACAACCUACUUUCAGGCAAGCAGUCACAUUCUGUUCGGACAUUGAACCCAAAUACAGAACACCCACUGUAUUCUCACAGAAGUAGAGCAUGAAUUAUUGCCAUGUUAUGAAUAAUGUUGUAAAUUUGCUGGGUGACAUCUGCUCUGUGGAAACUGUCAUGUGUGUGUUCCAGCUCUCUUAGACAGGCCUGGUAGCACAUCUCUUCAUGGCAGGUUGGUGUCAUGUGAAGAACAAGAUUUGUCUCAAGUCAAGAUAAUGGUUCUCUCGGGAAAGGAAAUGGUUGGUCCCUGUUUUCAACAUGAUUCAUGUGAGAUACAACAUUACAAAGACAACAAUAAAGCUUUCAUCUAAACUGAAGAAGAGCAUUACUGCCCUUGGGAAAAUGCUGUGCUAUAUUCAUUGUUUUCUAAAGCUUUUUUCUUUUUAUAUAUGCAUCCAUUAAAAAAUAUACCUAAUAGGAUGCAGAAUCUCAGUCAAAUAAGAAGCUCUGAGCGAGCUGUGUAGUUUCUCUCUCAGUAAUAUGGCAUAUGUGUUCCUCUCCCCAGCAACUGAUUUUGUCCAGCACCUUCAGUCUCCAGGAGUGGCUGUGCCUUGCCCCUUCAACUUAGAAAAGCUGACACGAUUACCAUGUCAAGCAAAUUGACAUCUAUAUGACCUUCUUUAACAUUCUAUACCAGCCUGUAAUACAAGUGAGCAUGUGAUGCAGGGAUUUAAAUUAUCUCACUGUUGCUAGAUCAUCUAAGGGUAUGCAACACAGCUUUGGGGAUUUGUCUGGUAUUCUGUGACAUUUCAUGUAACAUUGAGCUAGGUCCAUAUCUAUUUUGCAUGGUUUACAUCUAUAAGAAAGAUUCAAUCUUCGUGAAGCACAACUUUUCUGGAGUAAUAGGAACAUGACAGUUUCCUUUCUAGUAGCCUGUGGAGGAAUUCAUUAUGAAAUGUUUAUGUGUGAUAAAGGAGUUAAUAUUUUUUAAACCUCUUAUAAUAUGAAUUUAAGCUGUCAGGGAAAAUAUAUUAACCAUCCUGCCCACAACUCAUGUACCAUACCUUAAUCAGAAAUACACAAUCAGGACUGGAACAUGUAACUUUGACCUUUAAGAUCUUCUAAAUUUCUCAGCUGUCUGAAUUUUGUGUCAAUGUGCUGCUUAUUUUCAUGAUAUAGCACCUGAAUGAUUGCCCCACAAAAUUAAGAACUGAAAAUCACAAAGUGAGUGAGGAUUCAAAUUUUUGAUACCUAUUUUCUACAGAGAUAAGAUGCACUUUAAAAAAAUAACACAAUUUAAGAAAUUACUAUUUUAAUAUUUCUUUGAUUAAAAAAGACUUUAUGCAGUCCAGAUUUUUUAUUUUGCUUAAUUCAC